rnacentral:rRNA from 1 species
AGUGAACGCUGGCGGUAAGCCUAACACAUGCAAGUCGAACGGCAGCACAGUAAGAGCUUGCUCUUACGGGUGGCGAGUGGCGGACGGGUGAGGAAUACAUCGGAAUCUACUUUUUCGUGGGGGAUAACGUAGGGAAACUUACGCUAAUACCGCAUACGACCUACGGGUGAAAGCAGGGGAUCUUCGGACCUUGCGCGAUUGAAUGAGCCGAUGUCGGAUUAGCUAGUUGGCGGGGUAAAGGCCCACCAAGGCGACGAUCCGUAGCUGGUCUGAGAGGAUGAUCAGCCACACUGGAACUGAGACACGGUCCAGACUCCUACGGGAGGCAGCAGUGGGGAAUAUUGGACAAUGGGCGCAAGCCUGAUCCAGCCAUACCGCGUGGGUGAAGAAGGCCUUCGGGUUGUAAAGCCCUUUUGUUGGGAAAGAAAAGCAGCAGGUUAAUACCCCGCUGUUCUGACGGUACCCAAAGAAUAAGCACCGGCUAACCUCGUG